AAAGUCGUAACAAGGUUUCCGUAGGUGAACCUGCGGAAGGAUCAUUACCAAUCCAAAUUUACAAACCACUGUGAACUUGCUGAAGUACUUGGGUGAGAUUCAGAGUUCCUCAAAAGUGUACUUUGGGAGAAGAAGAUUGUACAAAUCUUCUGACCUCAAAUGCAGGCAUUCUGAGUAUCUGUCUCUUGCCCAGAAGUAUUGACCACUUGAAUUUUUUUUAAGUUGAACUGGCAAUGGACUGCUCUUGCAAUCCAUUUGCAAAGAUAAAAAAGAAAUACAACUUUUAGCGGUGGAUCUCUUGGCUCAU
rnacentral:misc_RNA from 1 species